rnacentral:rRNA from 1 species
CCUACGGGAGGCAGCAGUGAGGAAUAUUGGUCAAUGGCCGGAAGGCUGAACCAGCCAAGCCGCGUGAAGGACGAAGGUGCCAAGCAUUGUAAACUUCUUUUGUCAAGGGACAAAAUCAGGCUCGAGAGCCUGACCGAGGGUACUUGAAGAAAAAGCAUCGGCUAACUCCGUGCCAGCAGCCGCGGUAAUACGGAGGAUGCUAGGGUUAUCCGGUUUUAUUGGGGUUAAAGGGGGCGUAGGUGGAUUGUUAAGUCAGCGGGAAAAGCCGGGGGCUCAACCCCGGCGAGCCGGUGAAACUGGCUGUCUUGAGAUGUCGAGAGGUAUGCGGAAUGCGCAGUGUAGCGGUGAAAUGCUUAGAUAUUGCGAAGAACUCCGAUUGCGAAGGCAGCACACCGGCGGCGAUCUGACGCUGAGGCACGAAAGCGUGGGUAUCGAACAGGAUUAGAUACCCGAGUAGUC